AUGCAGGAGCAUGAUCAUCACCAUUGGCUGUGGCUUGAUCCUCAAUUUUGGACCUUGAUUUGUACUUUUAUACCUUGGUUGUAUUGUAAUAAUAUAAGCUAGAUAUAUAGGAUUUAGUACUAGUUUCGAA